UCUCUAGCUGAAAAAAGUAGGUGGGAAGUUUCUCACCCUUUUCCUGAAAUAUGUCAUAAGCUCCAUUGGGCUCCCCAUUACGCCAAACAUAUUUUCUAGUACUUUCAUGUAUCCCACUAAAGUAGCAAAAGGGUUCUGUGUCUUUACAAAUCUCACUACGUCAAACUUUCAAUCAUUCGCUGUCUUUUUAUGUCAGCAGAGCACUCCAGUAUCUGAAGGGUCUGCUCAACCCAAGUCUCAUACUCUUUUUCCCCCUCAGAUGUGGGCUUCGCUAAGAAUAUUCUCAGCUUUCGAUAGCUUGGACCCUCCGCCUGUGCGUUGGGCCAUUUAUUCACCAGAGAGCGGCGCCUCGAAGCGAAGCGACGGGAGGCCAUGCAUCAAAUCCAGGUGCCCAGAGCCCGCCAUGACCGACUGAGCCUUGGCGCCGACGGCCGAUCCGUUACCAUAACAACAGUUGAUUGCGGCCUCUUCCUAACCAUAGUUACCGCCGGGCCACCGCCUCGCCUCCACAACUCCGUCGCCGGGCAACGACCGUUCCGUCACCAGAAGAGCCGCGGCUGCUCCGUCACCAUAGCAACUGACGGGAGACCGGCAAGCGAAUAACCCCGCAGCUGCUGCAGUAAUGACACCAAACGGAACUCAAUCAAGCCUCCUUCACGGAAGGAGAAAACCCGUCAAUAUUUGGUCAGGCCUCUUCUCCAGGACUGAAGGGGAGGCUGAAGCGGUUACAGCUUAAAACCUGAAAUGGAGGAGAGGGGUUAGAGAGGGUUCAGACAGAAUACCAAAUGGAGACAGGCUCAGUGAUGAGGGAGACAUAGGAGACGACAGCUACAGUACUGCAAUCUGGAUCAUCACGAAAUCUGCUGGAGGGACUCAGCGGCUAGGGGGGAGAAAUUUAUUACGUUCCUUCAACCUUUUAUGUGUUGGACCCAUUUGCCUCAAUUUGACCUAGAUUUCUGCAAACCUUCUCUAUCCAUUCAUCUUUUAAACUUUGUAAUUAUACAUACCUCCACAACAGCCUCUGGCAACUGGCUUCAUUAUACCCACCACCAUCUAAGGUCCUAUUUAAAUUUCUUCCCCUCUCACCUUAAACCAGUCUUAGACUCUUCUACUUUGGGUAAAAGACUAUGACCAUGCAGCUUAUCUCUGCCUGUCAAGAUUUUAUAAACUUCUAUAGAUCAGCCUUCAGCUCCUGUGCUCUAAAGAGCACCAGCCUCUUCUUAUAACUGAAGCACUCCAGUCCAAGUAACACCCUUGUAAAUUGGUUUACUAUUGUCACAUAAGUGGUGAUGAAUCAGCAUAUAGAAGGAAGACUGAAAAUCUAGCUGAGUGAUACCACAACAAUCUCUCACUCAAUGUCAGCAAGACCAAGGAGCUUAUUACUGACUUCAGGAGGAGGAAAGCAGAGGUCCAUGAACCAGUCCUCAUCAUGGGAUCAGUGGUGGAGAAGGUCAGCAGAUAUUGAAUUCCAGCCUCCAUUUCAGAGGAUCUACCCUGGGUCCAGCACCUAACAAAGCACAGUGGCUUCACUGCUUUCUUAUAAGUUUGCAAAGUUUCAGCAUGUCAUCUAAAACUUUGACAAACUUCUAUAGAUGUGUGGUAGAAAGUAUAUUGACUGGUUGUAUCAUGGCCUGGUAUGGAAACACAAAUACUUUUGAACAGAAAAGCCAACAGAAAGUAAUGAAUAUGACCGGGUCCAUUCUGGCUAAAGCACUCCCAACUUUGAGCACAUCCACAUGAAGUGUUGUUGCAAGAAAGCAGCAUCCAUCAUUUAAGGUCCCUAUCAUCCAGGCUAUGCUCCUUCUUGUUGCUGCCAUCAGGAAGGUGCAAUAGGAGCCUCAGGACCCACACCACCAGGUUCAGGGAGUUAUUACUCCUCAAUCAUCAGGCUCUUGAACAAAAGGGAAUAACUACACUUGUUCUGCUUCUGGUGUUCCCACAGCCAAUGGUCUCACUUUAAGGACUCCAUUUUGUUAUUUCUUGCUCCUUAUUUAUUGCUAUUGCUAUCCCACAGGGGAUAACUUCACUCAACCAUCACUGAACCGUUGCCACAAUCUAUGGACUCAAUAUCAAGGACUUUUCAUCCAGUCAUAGAGAGUACAGCACAGAAACAGGCCCAUUGGCCCAUCUAGUCCAUGCCAAAACCAUUUAGACUGCUGACUCCCAUCGACCUGCACGGGGACCAUGUACCCAUCCAAACUUUACUUAAAUGUUGAAAUUGAGCUCACAUGCACCACUCUGUUGGCAGCUCAUUCCACACUUACAUGACCCUCUCAGUGAAAAAGUUUCCCCUCAUGUUCCCCUUUGGCUUCUCACUUUUUAUCCUUAACCCAUAACCUUAAGUUGUAGUCCCACCCAACCUGAGUGGGAAAGCCCACUUGCAUUUACCCUAUCUAUACCCCUCAAUUUUGUAAAUGUCUUUCAAAUCUCCCCUCAGUCUUCUAUGUUCUAAAGAAUAUGUAUAGUCCUAACCUAUUGAAUCUUUCCUUAUAACUCAGGUCCUCCAGACCCACUGACAUCCUUGUGAAUUUUCUCUGUACCCUUUCAUCUUUAUUUACAUCCUUCCUGUAGGUAGAUGACCAAAACUUCACACAAUACUCCAGAUUAGGCCUUACCAACACAUCCAAUCUUCAGUACUCAAUACAUUAAGUUAUAAAGGACAAUGUCCCAAAUGCUUUCUUUACAACUCUAACUGUGAUGCCACUUGAAACAAAUUAUGGGCCUGUAUUCCCAGAUCCCUUUGUUCUUCCUACCAUUCACUGUUUUAAGAAUUACCUAGUUGGUCCUCCCAAAGUGCAAAACCUCACACUUGUCCGCAUCAAAUCCUAUCUGCCAGUUUUCCAGCUGAUGCAGAUCUUUCUGCAAGCACUGAUAGUCUUCCUCUCUAUGCACUACACCCCCGAUCUUGGUGUUAUCUGCAGAUUUGCUGAUCCAGUUAACCACAUUUUCAUCCAGAUCAUAAACAAUGAAGGAUCCAGCACCAAUCCCUGCACCACUUAGUCACAGGCCUCCAGAGAGGUAACCAGCUACCACCACUCUCUGGCUUCUCCCACAAAGCCAACGUCUGAUCCGAUGUCUAAUUUUCAUCUCACGUUCUUGCUUUUUAUUGUUUAAUUAUGUUAUUAUUUCUUUUGAAUUUGAAGUCUGACUUUUGUACAUUGGUUGUCCUUGAUGGGUGUGGUCUUUGUGAGUUCUACUGUGUUUCUUGUAUUUACUUUGAAUGCCUGUAAGAAAUUGAAUCUCAGUUGUACAGGAUAUGAUGCCAUAUAAACAUAAAUACACACUGACAGUAAAUUAACUUUGAAAUACCUAGGUACAGUAAAAAAAAACCCUUAGAACAAAACCUUUUUCUAAUUGCUUUUUCUUAUAAAAACUGUGUUUAUGUUUUUCUUGUGAA